GCAUGAAUACUUUUGGCCUGCACAC
rnacentral:siRNA from 1 species